CGACCGUACCGCAAACCGACACUGGUGCGCGAGAUGAGUAUUCUAAGGCGCUUGAGAGAACUCUGGAGAAGGAACUCGGCAAAUUGACACCGUAACUUCGGAAGAAGGUGUGCCUUUAGUAGGUGAAGUUGUACAAACGGAGCCCAAUGAGGCCGCAGAGAAUCGGUGGCUGCGACUGUUUAUUAAAAACACAGCACUCUGCAAAGACGAAAGUCGACGUAUAGGGUGUGACGCCUGCCCGGUGCUGGGAAGAUUAAAUGAUGGGGUGCAAGCUCUUGAUUGAAGUCCCAGUAAACGGCGGCCGUAACUAUAAACGGUCCUAAGGUAGCGAAAUUCCUUGUCGGGUAAGUUCCGACCUGCACGAAUGGCGUAACGAUGGCCACACUGUCUCCUCCAGAGACUCAGCGAAGUUGAAAUGUUUGUGAUGAUGCAAUCUCCCCGCGGAAAGACGGAAAGACCCCAUGAACCUUACUGUAGCUUUACAUUGGACUUUGAACAGAUCUGUGUAGGAUA
rnacentral:rRNA from 1 species